UUAAACUAAAAUCAUUGAUAACUUCUUUUUCCCGAAAUAAAUAAGAUCUAUUCUGUUUAAUAUUUUUAGAUAAAAAAUAAAUACUGUAGCAAUAGUUUAGUAUAAGACAUAAUAGUAAUGAAAAGUUUAUCAAUUUUUAUGAUAUCUGGAUGAAAUUUAAAUAUAUUAAGUAUAUACAUCACAAUUUAAAGGUUAUAAGAUCUUUAAAAAUAAACAUAUUGCUUAAUUUAUAUUUUCAUAGGUUUAAAUAUACCAUGUGAAAUUAAUAAUUAAAGAGAUUAUUAUUAACUUUUAUUAUUAUUUUACUAUAUAAAUUUCAUAAGAUUACUUUAAAUUAUAAAUAAAACUUAAAUAAUGUUUAAAUUAGUAAAUUUAAAUAAAUUCUUAUAAAAGAACUCGGCAAAACAUAUAUUUCCUUAGAACUGUUUAUCAAAAACAUAGCCUAAAGAUAUUACAUUUUAGGUGUCUCCUGCCCAAUGAAAUUAAUUUAAAUGGCCGCAGUACAUUGACUGUGCUAAGGUAGCAUAAUAAUUUGACUUUUAAUUGAAGUCUGGUAUGAAUGGAUGCUUAUUUUCUAGAGAAACUGUUUCUAUAAGAUUAAUUUUAAAUUUUUUAAUGUGUGAAAAUACACAUAAUAUAUAAGAAAGACGAGAAGACCCUUAGAAUUUAACUUAUAUUUAUAUUUAAAUAUAAUUUAGUUUAGUUGGGGCAACUGAUAAACAUUUUAAAUUUUAUGUGUAAUAUUUAGUAUAUUUCAAUUUUCUAAUUAAAAAAAAUAAAUUACCUUAGGGAUAACAGCUAUAAUUAUUUUAUUAGUUUGUGACCUCGAUGUUGGACUAGGUAUAUCCUAUAAUUAACCAUUAUAGGUAAAAGUUCUGUUCGAACAGUAAUACCUACAUGAUCUGAGUUCAGACCGGCGUAGCAG
rnacentral:rRNA from 1 species